GACGAACGCUGGCGGCGUGCCUAAUACAUGCAAGUCGAACGAACUCUGGUAUUGAUUGGUGCUUGCAUCAUGAUUUACAUUUGAGUGAGUGGCGAACUGGUGAGUAACACGUGGGAAACCUGCCCAGAAGCGGGGGAUAACACCUGGAAACAGAUGCUAAUACCGCAUAACAACUUGGACCGCAUGGUCCGAGUUUGAAAGAUGGCUUCGGCUAUCACUUUUGGAUGGUCCCGCGGCGUAUUAGCUAGAUGGUGGGGUAACGGCUCACCAUGGCAAUGAUACGUAGCCGACCUGAGAGGGUAAUCGGCCACAUUGGGACUGAGACACGGCCCAAACUCCUACGGGAGGCAGCAGUAGGGAAUCUUCCACAAUGGACGAAAGUCUGAUGGAGCAACGCCGCGUGAGUGAAGAAGGGUUUCGGCUCGUAAAACUCUGUUGUUAAAGAAGAACAUAUCUGAGAGUAACUGUUCAGGUAUUGACGGUAUUUAACCAGAAAGCCACGGCUAACUACGUGCCAGCAGCCGCGGUAAUACGUAGGUGGCAAGCGUUGUCCGGAUUUAUUGGGCGUAAAGCGAGCGCAGGCGGUUUUUUAAGUCUGAUGUGAAAGCCUUCGGCUCAACCGAAGAAGUGCAUCGGAAACUGGGAAACUUGAGUGCAGAAGAGGACAGUGGAACUCCAUGUGUAGCGGUGAAAUGCGUAGAUAUAUGGAAGAACACCAGUGGCGAAGGCGGCUGUCUGGUCUGUAACUGACGCUGAGGCUCGAAAGUAUGGGUAGCAAACAGGAUUAGAUACCCUGGUAGUCCAUACCGUAAACGAUGAAUGCUAAGUGUUGGAGGGUUUCCGCCCUUCAGUGCUGCAGCUAACGCAUUAAGCAUUCCGCCUGGGGAGUACGGCCGCAAGGCUGAAACUCAAAGGAAUUGACGGGGGCCCGCACAAGCGGUGGAGCAUGUGGUUUAAUUCGAAGCUACGCGAAGAACCUUACCAGGUCUUGACAUACUAUGCAAAUCUAAGAGAUUAGACGUUCCCUUCGGGGACAUGGAUACAGGUGGUGCAUGGUUGUCGUCAGCUCGUGUCGUGAGAUGUUGGGUUAAGUCCCGCGACGAGCGCAACCCUUAUUAUCAGUUGCCAGCAUUAAGUUGGGCACUCUGGUGAGACUGCCGGUGACAAACCGGAGGAAGGUGGGGAUGACGUCAAAUCAUCAUGCCCCUUAUGACCUGGGCUACACACGUGCUACAAUGGAUGGUACAACGAGUUGCGAACUCGCGAGAGUAAGCUAAUCUCUUAAAGCCAUUCUCAGUUCGGAUUGUAGGCUGCAACUCGCCUACAUGAAGUCGGAAUCGCUAGUAAUCGCGGAUCAGCAUGCCGCGGUGAAUACGUUCCCGGGCCUUGUACACACCGCCCGUCACACCAUGAGAGUUUGUAACACCCAAAGUCGGUGGGGUAACCUUUUAGGAACCAGCCGCCUAAGGUGGGACAGAUGAUUAGGGUG
rnacentral:rRNA from 1 species